GAUCUCCCCGUUUCUCCAGAUGAGCAACAAAAGAGGACUGAAGCUGCAAGCAGCGUGCUCAGGCAAUCAGCCCGCAAGGAGCGCUCCUAUGUCCUUUCAGCUGCAAAGAAAAGCAAUGGGAUUGAGAUUGACGAUGACACAGGCCCACGCUCCAGAAGUCAGACCAUGCCAGCUUCGUCAUGGUUCAG